AAUUCGGGGAACCAGGAUCAUCUGAGGCCUACCCAGCAAUUAUGGGAACCAGGCAAGGCCUUCCCAGCACAGGCUAGCCAGCAGCCCAGUCUAGGCAUCAGGGGCUGAAGCCCCAGCUGAGCCUCCUCAACAUUCUGUCAUUAACUUCACUUUUCUCACAGACGUCUGCUCUGAGGUUAUCAGAGCUGAUCUUGAAUGCAAGCAACAAACUCUGAGAAAGCAGAGGAAGAGCUUGUAGAUCAUAUUCAUUCAAAGAGUAUGAAAAAAACUAGCUAAGGGACUAGAUUUUCAUUUAGAUGUCUGUCUCUGCAGCAUAUGGAAACUGCAUAGGUUUUUGGGAGAAGGGAUGAGAGAGGCUACUCUUAAAUUAGGUACUCUCUUUACUGAUGCUUUUUUAAGUGUUCCAAAAUGCUCUGACAUACACCAUUUUCACAUAGAUACAGAUAAACAAAACAGUAACAACAAGAAAACCCUCUAAGCUGACAUGACAACAUUCAAAUAGGGAAAACUUGCUUAUUCAUAGCAAAACGUUUAACUUUACACAGUCUAUUAUUUUGUUCAGGAGCAUAGUCUAAAAGUUCAUAUUUUAUGAAAAAUGUUUGUUAGCCACAGCACCUGUUGUUUUCUUUUAAUUUCUUUGGUGACUAUGAGUUUGAAAGCUUUUGGUAAAGUAACCCUGGUCUUUAACUUAUUAAUUCAAUCAUGCAUUGGUACAGUUAGGUUCAGUGUUACAGGAUAAUUUUUAUUCUUUUUUUUUCUUUCCCCUAUAAAGAUGCAGUUUCCCAUUUUAGUUAACCAUGAAUAAGAGGUACAUCAGCAGUGAGCUUUAACCCCCAACUACAUACUCCUUCAACUUCUUUUCUGGCUGAUCUUGUGAUCACGUAGUUACAGUAUGAGUUUAAAUUUGCAACACAGCUGAAGGAAAUGUUGAAUAUGUGCCAGGUGAAAAACAGAUCUUAUUUAAUGGUGUUGGUGCUUCAUAGCUGGUGCUCUGAAACUGUUGGGAAUAUCGGUCCCUUCUGAAUGUAUCCUUUUGACAUGGCUUUUAUUACGGGUGGUUACAUUUUUCCUAUGGUAAAAUGAUGAUGAUAGUGUCAACCUAGAAGGGAAAUUCCUGUAGUCUCUUCUAGCUUAAACUACAAGUAAAUAUAAAGUAAAAAUGACUUUGUAACUUUUGUAUAGGAAAAAUGUCUCCAGAAACUAGUGCAGCUUCAGAAAAUAAGCUGAUAGGGGAAGAAAUAAAAAAGAGUAUUUGCAACCAUCUUUUAAUACAGUCUUAUUAAGAGAAAGGACCACUGUCACAUGAUCCUGGAGACAUCAGCCAUUCAAAACUUGUAUCAAUUGUACUUCCUGGCCACCCUCCUCCUGCCUAUAAUACAGAGAAGCAUGUCACCAGAAGAAGUGCCAAGGUGAUUGGAACGCCUUCUGAAGAAGUAAUUCUCCCACAGUUUGAACAGAAACUGUCUAACUUGUUAUGAACUCAUUGCAUGAAGCAGUGCUAAAUAAAUAUAAAAUGUCUCUGUUCUGCUUCGGAAAGAUACAGGUUUUAUUACAAGAUGAUGGAGAUCAGUGCUAUGAGUUUUGGUGAAGCUACUUCUGACAUGCCAUUUUGCCUAAGGUGAAAUUAUUGUCUGUUAAUGUUUCAUCUGGACUUACUCUCAUUUUAAUCCUCAGUGAACAAUACUACACAACCAAAAACAAAUGUAAUUGGGUAUAAUUCAUGAUUCGUGGAACAGCAUCUGCUGUUCCAAGUUGGGACUGAAAAGUACUCGGAGGCAUGUUAAUAUAAUGUGAGGCACAUCCUAAAAUGGUGUUAAUGACUGUGGCUCCAUUGUUUUCAAUGGGUGUGCAUGCCUCCAGAUUCAUGUAGGUGUUUUCAGACUGAAAUUCAGCAAAGAUUUAUCAGAAUUUUAAUAAGAAACAUAAGCACAAGGCAGCUGGAGCUCAUGCUUACUGCUGUUCUUGGUUUUGUUGUGGCUGGUAUUUCACAUGCAAUAAACAAGCACUAUUAGAAAUAUCCUCUUCUUGAAAAUUUAAUAGAAUUUAAUCCAUAAAUACUUCUCUAAAUACCUCUACUUUACUAAUCAUAACAGACUAUAUGCACUGCAAAAGUCAUAAAAUAGAUGAGGCAGUGAAAAUGUUUAGGAAAUGUUAGAACUAAUAAUGAUAAUGACUCUACAAGAACAGUUGGAGCACAACACACAAAGACACAGCAAGAUCUUACAGCAAGCUCAUUGCACUCUAUGCAGAAUCAGCGGUAAUCCAGGACUGAAUAACUGGUAUUACAGGCUGUACUGGAGCUUGUAUUAGCUUCUGGGACUAAUUUGUGCUAGCAGAGCCAAAAAUAACAUACAUGUUCAUGUGAUGUUUAGAGCACUUCCUCUCUCCCAGUGUUCACUUUCUUUUCUGUCUCUUUAAAACAGAAACCUUCAGCAUACUGUAUUGUUACUGCCUUCUUUUGCCUUUAGCUCCAGUUUGUGAAACAAAGAAGGUUCAUUUCUUCUAUUUCAUUUGGAGGUGCAAUACUCAGCAGAUUGGUGGUGUUACUCCACAUCAGAGCAAGUAUGUCACCCAGAGCUGCAGAGCUCUGCUGGCUCACCUGGCUGUGAGGUGUGAGGUGCUUUUGCAGAGAGGCAUGCUUAAUAUGCUGACUGCUUUUGGCAAGCAAGACAGAAACAUAAACAAAGUUGAAGUUCUGAGUCUGAGAGAACUGAAGAAGAAAAAUUCAAAUGCAAUAAACACUUUGCUAGGUGCUAGAGAAGAGAAACAAGUUUAUAUAGUAUGCAAUUUUUAAUUCAUACUGUGUCAUUCUGGAUGUGGAUUUUGUAUGCAUGAGUGUGCAUGUUCAUGUUCACGUUAGGAGCUCAGUGGAAUUAAUACCUCCAGAAGAAGAAUUUAGAAGCUGAGCUUUGCUAGAAUUUAUUGAUAAUAUUGACAUUAAUAAAAUUAGCAGAAAGAUCUGUUAUGUUACAUUGUGAAGAAUGGUUGAGGAACCUAAAUAGAGUAAAUCAUAAAUAAAUUAAUCAUAACAAGACUUCAUUAAAAACACAGAAAAAACAAGGAAGUGUCUACACUGAAUUAGGUUUGUGUCUAGCACAGACCUGUUACCUUCCAAAAUCUUCUUAUACCUAUGUUCACUUUAAACCCAAAGAAGUAUUUACAUCCUGAGAAGUCCUUGUUUCCCUGUGUGGAAAUUCAUCCUAAAUUUGAUAACGUAUAAUUAACUAAUGGCUGACUAUACUUCAGGGGUUUAUUAGUGCUGGUAUUGUCAUAAAUAACUGACAACAUGACAAAUAAUAUUGUAGAAAAUUAAUUAAUGCACAAUGCUAUAUUCCUUAGGAAGAUAAUAGUCUAUUUCAGAGACCCUGUUUUCCUAACUAAUUGACAGUUCCCUUUUAGCUUAAUAACAGUUCAAAUCUGGGAUCAAACACUGCAUCCUUGCAAAUGCAUUGAAGUUACUCUGUUCUUGUGUGGAGUAUUGCAACUUACCUGAAGUAGUGACUGCCCAUGCCUAUCUAUUUAUAUAUAUUGUCUCUUUAGCAUUUUUCAUCCAUGUCACAUAACAAAAUGCUUUGUGAAACUAAGCUUAUCAAUUACGGUGUUUAAUAUAACAGUGAUUCAAAGAAACUGAGAUUCUUGCAAGGGAGAAAAUAUAACUAUUCAGAAGAGAACCGAAAAUAAACAAAAGGUCAGUGAAGUUGAGGAAUGAGGGGAAAUGCAAAUCUUGGUAAUAAUACAAAACAAAGGGAAACAAGAAAGCAUGCACAGACAAGUAAAACCUAACUGCAUAAAACUCCAUUUUCCAGACUGCAGUGUUAGCAUUUUGUGUUUCCUUGUCUUCCACCUAUAGUCGCUAAGAAGUGACCAUAUUUAAUGCCAGUUUCUGUUCUAAUUGUUUAAAAUUUAUAAAAUUAAAAGGUUUUAUUUUAAGUUAAUUCUCAAAUAGCAAAUCUCAGUAUGGUUUUGGGACUCAGACACCAAAUAAAAGUAAAAUGAAUAUCAUUCAAGUUAAACUUUUUAGCACUUACUCAUUUGUAAAGAGAAAAGGGGGAAAACUUCGGUGUUUGGAAGAGGAACAGAAUGAACUAGAACAACGAAAAAAAAUUACCGUG